GAUGAACGCUAGCGGCAGGCUUAACACAUGCAAGUCGAGGGGCAGCAUAAUGGUAGUAAUACUAUUGAUGGCGACCGGCGGACGGGUGCGUAACGCGUAUGCAACCUACCCUUUACAGGGGGAUAACACUGAGAAAUCGGUACUAAUACCCCAUAAUAUUCUGGGAGGCAUCUUUCGGAGUUGAAAGCUUUGGUGGUAAAGGAUGGGCAUGCGUUGUAUUAGCUAGUUGGUAAGGUAACGGCUUACCAAGGCGACGAUACAUAGGGGGACUGAGAGGUUAACCCCCCACAUUGGUACUGAGACACGGACCAAACUCCUACGGGAGGCAGCAGUGAGGAAUAUUGGUCAAUGGACGGAAGUCUGAACCAGCCAUGCCGCGUGCAGGAAGACGGCUCUAUGAGUUGUAAACUGCUUUUGUACGAGGGUAAACGCAGAUACGUGUAUCUGCCUGAAAGUAUCGUACGAAUAAGGAUCGGCUAACUCCGUGCCAGCAGCCGCGGUAAUACGGAGGAUCCAAGCGUUAUCCGGAUUUAUUGGGUUUAAAGGGUGCGUAGGCGGUUUAGUAAGUCAGCGGUGAAAUUUUGGUGCUUAACACCAAACGUGCCGUUGAUACUGCUGGGCUAGAGAGUAGUUGCGGUAGGCGGAAUGUAUGGUGUAGCGGUGAAAUGCUUAGAGAUCAUACAGAACACCGAUUGCGAAGGCAGCUUACCAAACUAUAUCUGACGUUGAGGCACGAAAGCGUGGGGAGCAAACAGGAUUAGAUACCCUGGUAGUCCACGCAGUAAACGAUGAUAGCUCGUUGUCGGCGAUACACAGUCGGUGACUAAGAGAAAUCGAUAGGCUAUCCACCUGGGGAGUACGUUCGCAAGAAUGAAACUCAAAGGAAUUGACGGGGGCCCGCACAAGCGGAGGAACAUGUGGUUUAAUUCGAUGAUACGCGAGGAACCUUACCCGGGCUUGAAAGUUACUGAUGAUUCUGGAAACAGGAUUUCCCUUCGGGGCAGGAAACUAGGUGUUGCAUGGUUGUCGUCAGCUCGUGCCGUGAGGUGUCGGGUUAAGUCCCAUAACGAGCGCAACCCCUACUGAUAGUUGCCAUCAGA
rnacentral:rRNA from 1 species